rnacentral:rRNA from 1 species
AUACGGAGGGUGCAAGCGUUACUCGGAAUCACUGGGCGUAAAGCGCGCGCAGGCGGGCUGAUAAGCGGGGAGUGAAAGCCUACGGCUCAACCGUAGAACUGCUUUCUGAACUGUCAGUCUAGAGUCUGGGAGGGGAAGAUGGAAUUAGUUGUGUAGGGGUAAAAUCCGUAGAGAUAACUAGGAAUACCAAAAGCGAAGGCGAUCUUCUGGAACAGUACUGACGCUGAGGCGCGAAAGCGUGGGGAGCAAACAGGAUUAGAAACCCUAGUAGUCC